AAAUAGAACUUUGCAGAGAGAGUUAACAGGGCGUGAAACCGUUAAUUGGCAAACGAAUCGGAGCCACGAAGUCGUUUCGUUGAUAGUUUGACUGAGUUCAGUGUUUAUGGGGUUGCACAAACCUCGUAAGCGUGUACUCUCGAGUUGAACCAUCUUUGUAAGCGUACACUGCAACCAGUUAGACGAUUGGCAAUGGGCCCAGUGUGAGAGGUAGUAAAUUGGCCUUGCGAAUACAAGUGUCCGAUUUGCUGGCUCACAGUAAGUGAGCUAUUGUCAAAUACUGACUGGCGAAAUGAAAAUCACCUUCGUACGAAGUGUGUUGUAUAGACAAGGCGCUAGCGGCGCGCAUUGUUACGCAGUUGGCGCGUAAGUUUUUAAAGUUCAGUACUUUUGAAUUUAGACUUGCAUGCUAUCAACGGGGCAACUCUUGGUGCAUGUAUAGCUUCUAUCUAAUCGGGUAUUGACUUGGCUUGCGUGAAAGUCAGCUGUGAAUCGAUUGACGGUGCGCGUUAGAUUAGUUGCAAUUUGAAUUGGCAGUGAGUAGGUCGGCUUUCCGAACGACCCGUCUUGAAACACGGACCAAGGAGUCUAGUUAGGCAUCGAGUCGAUCGGUCUUGAAUAGGCCAGCUUUUGAGCGCAGUGCUGAUCGAAGGCGUAGAGAAAUCAUGUGAUCUGUGGCAAUACCCCUGCUGCGAGCGCAACAUGUGCCUGCUCGUGUGCCAUUGUUGCAACGUUAAUGUUGAUUUAAUUGGCUGGGCGGAGUAAAGAGAUGCUUGACUGGUACCCGAAAGAUGGUGAUGCUUGGGCAAAUUGAAGCCAGAGGAAACUCUGGUGGAGGAUUUAGAUUCUGACGUGCAAAUCGAUCGUCAGACCUGAGUAUAGGGGCGAAAGACUAAUCGAACCAUC
rnacentral:rRNA from 1 species